AUUGAACGCUGGCGGCAGGCCUAACACAUGCAAGUCGAACGAGUGGCGGACGGGUGAGUAAUGUCUGGGACACUGCCUGAUGGAGGGGGAUAACUACUGGAAACGGUAGCUAAUACCGCAUACCAUCAGAUGUGCCCAGAUGGGAUUAGCUAGUGGGUGGGGUAACGGCUCACCAAGGCGACGAUCCCUAGCUGGUCUGAGAGGGUGACCAGCUACACUGGAAGUGAGACACGGUCCAGACGCCUGAGUGAGGAAGCAGUGGGGAAUAUGGCACAAGGGACGAAAGCCUGAGGCAGCAAUGCCGCGUGUAUGAAGAAGGCCUUCGGGUUGUAAAGUACUUUCAGCGGGGAGGCGGUACCCGCAGAAGAAGCACCGGCUAACUCCGUGCCAGCAGCCGCGGUAAUAC
rnacentral:rRNA from 1 species